AGCCUCAACACCUUUGCUCGGAGAUACAACACUCCAAGACUUCAACCAAAGGAAACACAAGUUCCUUCACAACUUGAGGACACAAGCCUAAUCUACCUUUGCUCGGAGAUACAACACUCCAAGACUUCAACCAAGGAAACACAAGUUCCUUCUUACAACAAGAGAAUAACAAUUCUCUUUAAGUGUACAAUACACUAAGCACUCAAACAAGACACUCCUUAAUGAGUAGAGAUGAACAACAAGAGAAUAACAAUUCUCUUCAAGUGUACAAUACACUAAGCACUCAAACAAGACACUCCUUAAUGAAUAGAUAUGAGUAAAAGAACACGCUCAAGAUCACAACAACUUUGAACAAUAUUUUGGCUCUCAAAAACUUAUGUAAUGAAUAUAAAAUAAUAAGCAAUAGAGUAUGCAAGCAUUAGCAAUUGAAUGAUCAGUUGUUGUGUGGUAUUGUGUUCUCAA
rnacentral:lncRNA from 1 species